CUGUCAAGUGAAAUCCCAUGAAUUAUUGCUCUUCCAGAUGUGAGAGAUUUCCAGGCUGCCUUAAACUGCUUGUGGUUUGUGGUAGUGGAGAGAGGAGAAAGGAGAUUAAACUUCAUCUCAUCAGCGCAAUCUGAAAAGAUCACACAGAGGACUAAUAAUCACAGCUUUCUCCUUCCAAAGCCAGACUGGAGAGGCGUUCCUGUUUUUGUUUCAGGGAACUGCAAGACACUUCUCUGGGUGGACAUGGUUUCAAAUUGCAGUUUACUACACCGCUGAAAAAUGCCAUCUAUGCGAUAUGCAGAGAGAUAAAUCUUGAAGAGCUCUCUUAUGUUUACCUUCUUCAAAGCAGCUGUGGGUCAUUCCUUACUGUGCAAUUUGUCUGCCAUUUGAGCUGCUGUUCUGAGACCUAGCUGCUAUUAGUUUUUCCUGUCAUCCACCUGACUCGAGAAGAUGCCUAAACAUCUAUCAAUGCAACUGGACAUUUUUUAGUUAAUGGCAAAAAAGUAAAAGCCAAAUAUUGAAGACCAAGAAGACAGCAGGUUGAGAACCAUUGCAGUAGCUGGUACAUAUAAAGACCCCAGAACAUGCACACCUGAAUUGCCGAUGUAAACUGUCUACCACUAUUCAUCUAAUCCAGGUGCUGCCAAAGAAACCAUGGAACAGGAGCAAAGAAAAGAAGCUGUGUCAUUGUUAGACCUUGAACUUUAUAUGAACAAGACUGUUUCUGAUGACCAAGUGAAAGCCCAAUUAGUGCAAAAUCCACAGACUCCAUUUCAAGUAUAUAUAUUUCCUGUGGAUAAGAAGAGGCAUAUAAGUUUUCAACCCAAAUGGUUCAGAAGAUUUCCCUGGCUAACUUACUGAUUUCAUCUACAAGGCGCACUCUGUAAGUACUUUGUGGUGUUUGGAGAAGUUGGAAGUAAAGGUGGUAAUCAGAAGCUUGGUGCAUUGGUUGCUAAACCAUUUGUACAAUGGAAAGAUGCAAUAGAAGUCUUCAAUGGACACCAAAAAACAGAGUACCAUCAUCUGCCAUAGAGAGGGAGGUAUGCAAAUUUAUGUUAUCCCAUGAACUCAUUCUCAGCAGCCAGAGGGUUGUGCCUUAAGCAAGUCUUUAUACUUAAUGGAUAAGAUGGGGGCUGUUCAAUGCAAACAGCUGUGGUAGAAUGGGCAUUGAUCAUUGCUGAGACCAUGGCAGGUAUUGAGAUGAACUAAUCUCUUCCUCCUUUGCUGUGAUCUUGGAGAAGACCCCUCUUCUGAGGCUGCUAUUUGCUUUGUAGAUGUAUGUUCCUUUGAAGCCAAUAACCAAUUUCAUUUUGUUUCAUUUAAGAAAGCAUCCUCAGGAAAAAUAAUUCCUGCCUGCUCUGUUCCUGUUAAAGAUGACCUUAUCUCGGGGCAUGUUCUGGCAUACCUGAACAUACAAUGAAAAACAAUAGGCACAUCUAACUCGAUCCUGAUACAAAUAACUUGAAUAAUCACAUAAUAUAUUUUCAGUGGACUAUAUGCACAAUAAAUUGGUACUCAACCAAUGAGAAACUAGACAUGGCAGCUAAACAGUAAAGACUGGUUUGUAUUUUACCCCUUUCUGCUUAUUAUUUGUGUUUUAAAAUGCACAUGCAAAUUGAUAUUGAUUAAAUAUUAACUAAAUAAUUACUAAAUAGUAAAUGAGCUACAGUGUCAAGACAUUGUAUUAUUAUUAAAUUAUUAUUAUUAUUAUUAUUAUUAUUAUUAUUAUUAUUAUUAUUAUUAUUGUAUGACACAGCAAACAAGAUAGAUAUGCUGGAUUUCGUAUCACAAAAUCACAAGUCGAACACUUCCCAAGUGUCUAGGACUGUGUGAUGUAUUUUUGGAUGAUGAGCACAGAUCCCAGUAGGGUGGCCUUUUGCAGUUGGCAGAUCGUAAUUUUGUCAAUGUCUGUUGUUUCCAAAUGCUGAGUUCUUUUGGCAUGUGCCAAUCACCACCGGGACCAGAGUCUUUGAAGUUCAAUCUUGAGGUCCUGAUAGCGGCUGAGUUUUUCCUGUUGUUUUUCAUCAAUGCGACUGUCACCUGGGAUGGCAACAUCAAUGAUCAAACCUUUUUCUUUUCCACAACUGUGAUGUCUGGUGUGUUGUGUUCCAGAACUUUGUCAGUCUGAAUUCAGAGGUCCCACAGUAUCUUUGCAUGCUCAUUUUCCAAUACUUUUGCAGGUUUGUGAUCCCACCAGUUCUUUACUGCUGGGAGGUGGUACUUGAGGCAUAAGUUCCAAUGAAUCAUUUGGGCCACAUAGUUGUGCUUCUGUUUGUAGUCUGUCUGUCUGAUUUUCUUACAGCAGCUGAGGAUAUGAUCAAUGAUUUCAUCGGUUUCCUUGCACAGUCUGCAUUUUGGGUCAUCAGCUGAUUUUUUGAUCUUGGCCUUAAUUGCAUUUGUUCUGAUGGCUUGCUCCUGGCUUGCAAGGAUCAGGCCUUUUGUCUCCUUCUUCAGGGUCCCAUUCGUGAGCCAUAGCCAGGUCUUCUCCUUAUCAGCUUUUCCUUCAAUUUUGUCAAGGAACUUUCCAUGCAAUGUUUUGUUGUGCCAGCUGUCAGCUCUAGUUUGUAGUGUGGUUUUCUUGUACUGGUUUUUUGUCUGCUGUGCUUUGAGGACUUUCUGAUUUUUGACUUCAAUCAAAGCAGGUUCUUCACUUUGCUUUACAUCUUCUGCCAGGGCAUGUUCUUCUUCUUUGACUGCUUGUUUUACUUAUAAGAGUCCUCUGCCCCCUGAUCUUCUAGGCAGAUAUAGCUGAUCAACAUCACUGCGAGGGUGCAGUGAAUGAUGAAUGGUCAUGAGUUUUCUUGUUUUUCUGUCCAAAUUGUCCAGUUCCACCUGUGUCCAAUUUAUAAUGCCAGCAGUAUAUCUUAUGACAGGUAUGGCCCAGGUAUUUAUGACCUUGAUGGUGCCACUUUGCCGUGGUGGUGGGGGGGGGGUUAACUACUCCAAUGAUGACUGAGAGCUGUGCUGAUGGUAGUGUAACUACCAGCAGGUCCGACCAAGCCAGAGAGGUCUCAGCUGAGGAGUAGAACUAAGAGCACCUAACCCAUUAGCAUUAUGGAGAAUCAAACCAAAACAAAGUCUAUACUGGCUCGGUCGUCGCCCAGGAUAAAAAGGACUGCGGUGGAUGCUGCCAAUUCUGGACAUCCAUUGACAAGUGGGCUACAAAAUCAAAAUACAAAUGAACAGUCACAGAAGCGGCAGAAAUAUACAAAGCCAGAAAACUACACUAUUAUUAUUAUUUUAUUAUUAUUAUUAUUAUUAUUAUUAUUAUUAUUAAUGUUGUUGUUAUUGUUGUUGUAUGACACAGCAAACAAGAUAGAUAUGCUGGAUUUCGUAUCACAAAAUCACAAGUCGAACACUUCCCAAGUGUCUAGGACUGUGUGAUGUAUUAUUAUUAUUAUUAUUUUGGAAUAACAUUUGUACCAAGAAGACUUUUUCUCUCCACCCUCAACCUUCAGUUUUCCAGAAAAGCAUUCAAACCUAUUUCUUGGUAGUAUUUUAACAAUCCUUAAAUCUAGAUAAAAUUACGUUUAAUUCCUUAUAAAGCUAAUGUGCUUCAUUUCACCCACUGAAUUAUUAGAAGAUGGAGCUACAUUUUCUCCACACAAGUAGUAUUAAAUGGUAUUGUCAGGCUUAUUUUUACAUGACAAAUACCAAUACUUUAAAAGAUACAGUGGAUCACUCUCAUUUUCCUUCCUUCUUUUCUUUCUUUCUUCUGUGCACCACAGAAGCAUAGGCACUUAGGAUAGUGUGAUUGGAGGGUACCUGUACUUCUACAAGUUUGUUGUGCUAAUGUGGCGAAGAGAUGGUUGCUGGUCAAGUUGAUCCUGCAGUCUAUCUGGCUGAAUGAGAAUUUGAAUCCAGACUCCUUGAUCAUGUCAGAAGAACCAAAUACAUUUUUUCUCCUGAAUUAAGUUGCUGGAGAAUGCUUGUAAGAAAACCAGAAGUGGAUUUUUGUGUGAAAGGCCAUGUCAGCUUGGUUUGGCUACUGGUCACAAAUUCCUCAGUAUGUAUUCAAAGUCAACAUGUUCCUUAAUUCUUAGCAUGUAAUCACCUACCUAAGCCAUUAUUUUGUACCUGGCUCUGGUUAGAGAAUGUCAGGAUUCUUUUUUUUAAUCAUGCAAUACUCAUGCCAGCUGGCAUGGUCAUAAUUAAUGUAAGAUAUGUGUUUACUUGUCCUAAUUAUGUAAACAUAUCAUACUGUGCUAGUAUUCGGGUUUGCUCUGUUUUGAUGCAAGCAUUCUCAUUGCAUUCUAUUUUCAUUUAUUACUUAAUCUUCAUAUAUUACUAUAUGUAAAUAAAGAUUCAUAUUUCCAGUAUGAAAAGUGUUUUUAAUAAAAUGUAUGCCCAUCCAUUACAUUCUAGAAUGUGGUUCAGAAUAGAUUUCAAGUAAUGCUGUCAUAACAGUGAAAUGACAAUGGAGGAACAUUCUCUAGCAAUAGUUAAAAACCCUUACAAAUGAAUGAAGUAAUGAGAAUGUCACUCGCUGAAGUUUUAUUUUAAAAAUUCUAGUUUCAUAUGAACCUAAUUUAGAGGACAAUUUGGAAACCUUAUUGGGAAUGGAGGAUGAAGUCAGAGCCCCAGUGGAAGAAGUCAUAAGAACCAAAAUCAAAGUGUGAGAGCCUUCUUUAUUCAAACUUUCCUUCCUCAUCUCUCAUGCACACACACACACACACACAGAGUGGUGGUUUAAGGGAAACUUAUCUUCCUUUGCUUGGGUUUAGGAUUGUAGACAGUGAUGGACUGAAAAGCAGUUAGGUUAACAAAUCUAGAUGAUAGGAUUCCAACUGAACAAUCUUGCACAAAAGAAAUUUAACACCCAACCAGUUCUAAUAAUUUUGGAAAAUUUAUUCAGCAACAAAAAUAGAAUAACAUAUAGCAAAUUGCAGGAGUACACUAUAUAUAUUUUAGCCUGUCAUUAAAUAACAGUCGUUAAGCCAUAAUGGGAAAAUUACUAAGCAAACACAAAGUGAAAACUAUUCAAGCCAGUUGCUUGCUGGUAGAGACAGAGUGCCAUAGAAACACUUAAUCUCCUUUUCCUUGAAAUUCCUAAGAGCUGAAUAACUCUAUAGCUUCUAAACUUUCCCCUUGGUUGAAGAUACCUUUCCUUCAGCUUAGCUCUACCAUACUUUGACCUUAUGGUCAAUCCCAGACCAUUUUACAUUAGUGUUUGAUGGCCUUCAUGUCUGUGAUGAAUCCAUUCUGGGUUUUAGCCCAAAUGUCUAUCCAAAAGAUAGAACCUAUUUUGUGACUAGGGUUCAUCACUUUGGAUAGCUCUUUUAUAGAUCAAAGUAAACCUUGGAGGAUAUUCUCCACCAUGCGUCACAGAAGCCAUCAUCUGCCACCACAUCAGAAACAACAGAGUCUUGUGGUAUCUUAAAGACAAUAAGUAUUGUCUGACAUAAACUUUCAUGAAUUGCAGGCCCAUCUCUAACAAGUUGAGCAGAUGAAGCAGAGUUGAGUCCACAAAUACUUUUGUCAAAUGCUUUCAGAUGCCACAAGAUUUUAAUUUUCCAUGUGUGUACAGGUCAAGACUUUACGUCUGAUCUGACUACUGUAACAGAAUAAAACUCUCCCCCCCCCAAAAAAAAAACACAUUCCUUUCAUUGACUGAAAAAUACAUAGGACAUUAUCCCAUGGGCAGGAGGGAAGCAGGGGAAAGUGUUUGGAACAGUGGGAUCGCAUAUUACCCCACCAAGAUGAAAGGGAACCCGAUUGCUGGAUGUAGUGAAGAGGGACUACUCCUUCAGGAACAUCCACCUCAAGGCAAGUCAGAAACCUUGCACUGGUGGUUUCCAACACAGCCAGGAGAUGGCCAGCCAUCCCACAUCCUUUCCCCGUCUUCUCACUUCCCCCCGCUUCCCCCCUCUUUUUUCAAUCAGGAGUCAGGUAACACCCAACUCCUGAAAAGGGAGCCUUUUCUCCAUGUUUGCAUGCUGGCAAAAUGGAUUCCUGUGGGUGGCCACUGGAAGUGGCCGUGAGUCAUGGGUUGACCACCACGGGACUCCAUUUUGCCAGUGUGUGAAAACGAAGAGAAAAUGGGGGGGCAGUUUACAUGGGAUAAGGUCCAUAGACCAACAGAGACGGGGGAUAAGAAUCAAAGUUAGUCUAAGAAGAAGUCAUUAUCUAUCUUGUCUGCCUAUAAGAUGCAUUUUUGUUUCUGUUUGUGAAGAAAUGAAGUACAGGAAAAGCAGUCCUUUGAGAACCACCAAUGCUCUCCUUUUCACAGCUGCUGCCCAGUUAUUGUGUUGCACAAUAUUUGUGUCUCAACUUGCUAGAUGUAGUCAAGAGGGACUACUCCUUCAGGAACAUCCACCUGAAGGCAAUUCAGAAACCUUGCACUGGUGGUUUCCAGCACAGCCAGGGUUCCCUGUCAUCAUCCAAACACUGAAACUUUGGGAAGGAAAACACUGACUGCAAUUUCACUCAAAUGGACAAGUCUCAGAGCUUUAAUCUAGACCAUAUGUGUCAAACGUAAGGCCCAUAGGCCAAAUGUGAGUACCACAUCAUUUUAUGUGGUCCCUGAGGCUUUCAAUGCCAGGGCAACAUAGUUACAUUUAAACAGUCUUUCAAUUAAAAGCAGUCUUUUGAAAACAAUCAUAAGGCUAAUGUGGCCUUUGAUGAAAAUGAGUUUAACAUUCCUGAUAGACCAUGGAUUUGAGGUUGGAUCCAGUUGAUGUACCACCAAUCCAUAGGUUUAAAAUACUGACAAGAACUGGUGACACAUUUUCAAAAGAGUCUUGAUUUUUGGAGACCUCAGUUAAUUUGCUUUCAGUGAAAUGAUUCCAGCUCUUUAGGACUGGACGGAUGCUUUUCCAACUCACAUUAGAAAGGAUUCAGACAACAGCUUCUCAUAAGCACCAUUUCACAAGAUAAUUCAUGAAGAAGUGGUAUUUGUGUAAAGACCUGUCAAGAGUCAGACGCCAGUUAACAUACAAAACAAAGUUUAUUCCGAAGAUAAGCCAAAAAAUAACAUAAACACAGGAAAUAUCCUUGAAACACUUCACUUUUCAGUGUUUCGAGAGUAGAUUGGACAAUAAUAACUCAAAAACGAGCCACGCUAAUUUCCCAUGCUGGCAUUCAAUAAAAAACUAAAUAACACUUCAAUUCAGCUUUGGAAAACAAAUAGAGUUAAUUGCUGGAAAAUAAACAAACUAGAAAAGCAGUAAAGCUGCUUCCACGGUGCAGAUAAGCCGAGAGCCUCAAAGGGAUGAUGAAUAGCCGUCGUCAGAAGAAUCCAAGGUCAGGUCAGGAGGCAGCAGAAAUUCCGAAAGACAAACCAAUAGUCAGAAGCCGGGAGUAGCCGUCAGUCAGAGGGCAUAGACAGAAGCCAGGUCAAAUUCAAUCCAAAGUCCGAAGAGGGUGCAGUCAUCCAAAACAGGUCCACGAUAAGACACAGCGAGAGCCAAGCUAGAUGAUAUCAGCAGAUUCAAAUCAUAGUCCAAGUUCAGUCUUCAUGGAAACACAGAGAUCCCAAUGGCGCCUCAGCAACACCUUGCCACACGCAAAGUGCAGUGGCCAAACAUUCCCAUUUUAUUCCCCUUCCUCCUGGGUGACCAAACACUCACACCCAAACACCAGGUGUCCCAAAUCUACUCAGAGUCUGAACUCCACACAGCUAGAGCUCGUGGAUCUGGAGUACCUAGCAAUUCGUCGGAGUCCCAAUCAUCCUGCCCACACUUAGCCCCAUGAACACUUAAAGAACCAUCCUCCCUUCUCCAAGCAUCCCAAUUGGGAUCAGCUCCUGCAGAAACCCCAGGUUCAGAAGUAUCCAUAAGCCCCAAAUCUCCAGACAUCUCCGGUGGCUGUGCCCAUUCAGUGCCCGCUUCCCCAGCCACCACCUGUUCCUCAGCAUCCAUCUCCCCAUCUGAAUCUUCCUCAGAAGAUCCCCCAUAUAGCUCUCUAAGUCGCUUCCUGCGCAACUCCUCCAGUGAACCCUCAUCACGAGGGUUUUUUCUUCCUCUUCGAAUUCCACCACCAUCAACCAUAAUCCCCGAAGGCGCAGUCACAACAAGACCAGAGAGUAGAGUAAU